GGACAGAAGAGAGGGUGGCUGAACAAGGUUCGGGGGAGCGGAAAGUUGGGACCCAAGCACUGUGAGGCGUGGCCAACUGCGUCACGGUGCUCAAUCGACUGUCCUUAGAAACCCGCCAUCCCUCCUCUCCCGUUUCUCACCUUCCUUCGCGGCAUUGCCGGCGGCUGCGGCCCGACGGUUCCGAUUCGGGCAGCGGCAGCAGCAGCAGGAACGGUGGCUCCGGCGGGCUCCGUGGCGGCCUCUGUAUCAGUCCCAAUCCUGCGGACGAUCCCUAGUGCCUCCUGCCUCUCAGCGUCUGGAGCGUUCUGCGCAGGCGCCGCGGGCUGAAGCGCUUUUUCCUUCACUUCCGGCUGGGUCUCGCGUCACCUGACGUUACGGGCCAGAGAGGGUGCUGGGAAGUUCGAUCCUUUUGGUGAAGCUAGUGGGCGCCAUUUUGAAGUUGGGCAGAAAGUGACUCCAGUGGUGGAACCCGGAGCCAACCAUUUUUACCAGCGUCCCAUGCUCGGUGGCCCCAGAAAAGUCAGUGUGUAGGCCUCAGCCACUUCAGGUCCGGCGUACAUUCUCCCUGGACACCAUCCUCAGCUCCUACCUUCUGGGCCAGUGGCCACGAGAUGCUGAUGGGGCCUUCACCUGCUGCACCAAUGACAAGGCCACCCAGACGCCCCUGUCCUGGCAAGAGCUAGAAGGUGAGCGUGCCAGUUCCUGUGCACACAAGCGCUCAGCAUCCUGGGGCAGCACAGACCACCGAAAAGAGAUUUCCAAGUUGAAGCAACAACUGCAGAGGACGAAGCUGAGCCGCAGUGGGAAAGAGAAGGAGCGAGGUUCACCACUCCCAGGGGACCACGCAGUGCGGGGAGCACUGAGGGCGUCCCCUCCCAGCUUCCCCUCAGGGUCCCCUGUCUUGCGACUCAGCCCCUGCCUGCACAGGAGCCUGGAAGGGCUCAACCAAGAGCUGGAGGAGGUGUUUGUGAAGGAGCAGGGAGAAGAGGAGCUGCUGAGGAUCCUUGAUAUCCCUGAUGGGCACCGGGCCCCAGCUCCUCCCCAGAGUGGCAGCUGUGAUCAUCCCCUCCUCCUCCUGGAGCCUGGCAACCUUGCCAGCUCUCCUUCCAUGUCCUUGGCAUCUCCCCA
rnacentral:sRNA from 1 species